CAGCAGCCGCGGUAAUACCAGCUCCCCGAGUGGUUGGGAUGAUUAUUGGGUCUAAAGCGUUCGUAGCCGGCUAGAAAAGUUUACCGUUAAAUCCAAUGAUUCAAUCAUUGGGCUGCGGUGAAAACUUUUUAGCUUGGGGGCGGGGGAUGUCGGCGGUAGUCCCGGGGUAGGGGCGAAAUCCUAUAAUCCCGGGAGGACCACCAGUGGCGAAGGCGGUCGACAAAAACGCGCCCGACGGUGAGGGACGAAAGCUGGGGGAGCGAUCGGGAUUAGAUACCCCGGUAGUCCCAGCUGUAAACGAUGCAGGCUAGGUGUUGGAGUGGCUACGGGCCGCUCCAGUGCCGCAGGGAAGCUGUUAAGCCUGCCACCUGGGAAGUACGGUCGCAAGGCUGAAAUCUUUGGGAGAAUUAUCAUUAUAGUUUAUCAUAUAAUAUUUCCCAGAGACAGUAAACUUAAAGGAAUUGGCGGGGGAGCACCACAAGGGGUGAAGCCUGCGGUUUAAUUGGAGUCAACCCCGGGAAUCUCACCAGGAGUGACAGCGGGAUGAAGAUCAGAUUAAAGGUCUUAUCGUACUAGCUGAGAGGUGGUGCAUGGCCGUCGACAGUUCGUGCCGUGAGGUGUUCUCUUAAGUGAGAUAACGAACGAGACCCGCGCUACCAGUUGCCAGCAGAUUCCAUUUGGUUUCUGGGUACACUGGUAGGACUGCCUCCGCUAAGGGGGAGGAANGAGCGGGCAACGGCAGGUCCAGU
rnacentral:rRNA from 1 species